GGCGGCAUGCCUAAUACAUGCAAGUCGAGCGGACUUGAAGAGAAGCUUGCUUCUCUGACGGUUAGCGGCGGACGGGUGAGUAACACGUAGGCAACCUGCCUUUCAGUCUGGGAUAACUUCCGGAAACGGAUGCUAAUACCGGAUACAUCGUUUCUCCGCAUGGAGAGAUGAGGAAAGACGGCGCAAGCUGUCACUGAGAGAUGGGCCUGCGGCGCAUUAGCUAGUUGGUGGGGUAACGGCUCACCAAGGCGACGAUGCGUAGCCGACCUGAGAGGGUGAACGGCCACACUGGGACUGAGACACGGCCCAGACUCCUACGGGAGGCAGCAGUAGGGAAUCUUCCACAAUGGGCGAAAGCCUGAUGGAGCAAUGCCGCGUGAGUGAUGAAGGUUUUCGGAUCGUAAAGCUCUGUUGCCAGGGAAGAACGUCCGGGUGAGUAACUGCACCCGGAGUGACGGUACCUGAGAAGAAAGCCCCGGCUAACUACGUG
rnacentral:rRNA from 1 species